CUUUUGAUGAUAAUUUUAGGUCUAACCUGCCCAAUGAAAAUUUUAAUGGCCGCGGUAUUUUGACCGUGCAAAGGUAGCAUAAUCAUUUGUUUUUUAAUUGAAAGCUGGAAUGAAAGGUUGAAUGAGAAAAUAACUGUCUCUAUUUAAUUUUAUUAGAAUUUUAUUUUUAAGUUAAAAAGCUUAAAUAUUUUUUGAAGACGAGAAGACCCUAUAGAGUUUAAUAUAUAUAAUAUUUAGAUAUUUUAGUAAUAAUUUUUUUAAAUUUUAUAUUUAUUUGAUUGGGGUGAUUAAAAAAUUAAAUAAACUUUUUUUGUAUUAAAUCAUUGAUUAAUGAAUUAUUGAUCCUUUAAAAGAUUAAAAGACUAAAUUACCUUAGGGAUAACAGCGUAAUUUUUUUUUAGAGUUCUAAUCGAAAAAAAAGAUUGCGACCUCGAUGUUGGAUUAAAAUUAAUUUUUGGUGUAGAGGCUAAA
rnacentral:rRNA from 1 species